UCUUCUGCAGCUCAGGGCUCAUGUUGGGGAGAGGGCAGAAGCCAAACAAAUCAACAAAGCCAACUUCUUGAACAGAAGACUGAACCUGCCAGAAAUAUAGACAUAUGCUUGUGCAUCUGAGAAGAUCUUAGGGUGUGAAUUUGGAAACUUCCUUUUGGCUUUACCAUUUAAUAGCAUUACAUCACCACUUUCCUCAUCUACUGGACCAAGGUGGCCAAUAAUGCAAAGUCAGAGGAUACCACAGGAACCCAGGCUGCAAAACCCAAUGUUGGAUGGAUCUGGCAUGGACAUACCUCCAUGGGGAGGUAGAAGCAUGCUGAAGA